UAUAUAAAAGGGAAAAAAAUUACAUUCACUUUUUUUUGUUCCUUCUCUCUCGCGACGGAGAUUGCGAAGUUGAAAAAUAUUUUUGUCAAUGAUCCGUUGGAAUUGGAGAUGAAUGAUUCGAUUCUUGGCCGUUAGCUCAGCCUCUCCACCGAUGGCGGAUCGCAACGGCAACUCUCGGUGAGGGAACCGACUACUUGGUUGGAUGAAAUCGGAGACCACCAAAUCGGAGGCUUUCCUUCACCAAUUCGGAGAUUGAAUCACCAAUAUCUUUCUCAUGGGUUGGAUGUCGAUGCACUUUAGUUACUGGACGUGGGCUCCCAAUCCCAUCAUCCACUCCAUGGCAACAUUUGAAGGUCUGAUUGACAAGUAAUGUUUUGUUGGUCUUGUUUUUGUCUUUCUGAUAUGAAAUCCAGGUUGAAGGGGCAGGAGAUUUCAUAUCGGUACAUCAACUCAGGUAGGCGAGUAUUCUUUCCACUAAACCGAAAGAGAGUGUUGGGGAUUUAACAAAAAGAGCCAAGAAUCAGUAAACGUGGAAAGGUUUUGCCCGCAGCUUGGAAGGAGCUACAAUUCUGUAUAUGUUUUGCAGCUAGGUCACAGAGUUGUAUUGAAGAAUGAAGAAGAAUACUCAAGUCUACUUUAUCUCAGAGAGAUGGAUUGAAGAGUGAAGAAUAAGACUUAAGCAGACUGCUUAAGUUAACGAUUGUGGAAGAGGGUCUUCUUUUGUGGUUUUCUGGUACUAAGAUCUCUCGGUGAUGGUUUGAUUGUGGAGAGUUGAAAAACCAACGACCAUCAAUAUGGAGGGACGGGUAAGUCAUUGGCUUAAGUUAUUGUACGUGAGCUCCCAUCAUCUGCUUCAUAACAAGAUUUGAAGUGUCUGAUUGCCAACUAAUGUUUUGCGGCAACUUCUUGGUUUCUACUCUCAAAUGUUUUAUUUUUUUCAAAACUAAGAACCUCACUUACAAGAGUUUACCAUUGGAGGAGUACAAUUUUAAUUAACAAACAAA